GUACAUAGCAAGUUUGAGGUCAGCCUGAGACACUUGAAAACUUGUCUCAAAACAAACAAAACAGGAAAGCAUUAUGAUUUGAUGAUUCUGAGAACUUCACAGACUUCCCUCCAUAAUCUGCAACCUUGUCAGCACUAGUCAAGGUUUCAGGCCUUACAUCACACUAAUAACUGCUACUCUCCAGGACGUACUUGAAGCUGGCACAAUGCUGAUGUCACUUCACCAGCCAUGGUUAAGGUCACUGGCUACUCAGUAGCACCCAUUUCUGUCUCCUUGCCUCCUUUAAAAAUUCCCUUGUGCACCAGUGAGAUCUCUCCCUGACAAAGGUGUCUGCUGCCAAGCCUGGUGAUCCAAAUUUGAUCCGCGGAUUCCAUGAUGAAAGGAGAGAGCCACAUCUGACAGUUGCCUUCUGACCACCGAACAUGCACCAUUGCAUGCUAGACCUUCACUGCCCAUGGGAUUCUGUGUGAAGAGGAGAGGGAGAGGCAGGAAGCCGUCAGCCCUCAGACGUCCACUUGGGCUGAACUUGCUGAGAAGGGAUUGUUAGAAUGCCUGAUGGUUCUUCAAGAUCUGCUUCUGCAUUUGACGUGAAGCCACCCCCACUCAAACGCUGGAAGAUGCUGGUCUGUUCUGUUCUGUGAACUGUGACCUGAGUUGUGACCCUCUUUCCCUCUUAGCUCAGAGUGUGACUGUACUUGGAAACGGGAUCUCUAAGGAGGUAACUAAGGUGAGACACCCAGCCUGCAGUCCUUUGUCAUGGCAACUCUAGAGAGUGAACCACAGUCCGGCACUUGCCUUACAAAUAAUAAACUCACGUCAAAUGUAGGCGUGACUCAGCCAAAGACACAGAGAGGACACAGAACAGCAGGAGCAGUCCACAUCCCCUAACCAGAGGACAUUUCUUCUGAAAAGUGUCAAUUCAAGGAACUGUGUCUCCUCCAAGAAACAAUGCCAAACACCCAACAUGGCAGUGGUGGCCCAAAGCCUGUGAGCAUGUAGGACUUACAAAAGUACAUUAGAGCUGGAGAGAUGGCUCAGAAGUUAAGAGCACUGACUGCUCUUCCAGAGGUCCCAAGUUCAAUUCCCA